AUACAGAGGGUGCAAGCGUUAAUCGGAUUUACUGGGCGUAAAGCGCGCGUAGGUGGCUAAUUAAGUCAAAUGUGAAAUCCCCGCGCUUAACUUGGGAAUUGCAUUCGAUACUGGUUAGCUAGAGUAUGGGAGAGGAUGGUAGAAUUCCAGGUGUAGCGGUGAAAUGCGUAGAGAUCUGGAGGAAUACCGAUGGCGAAGGCAGCCAUCUGGCCUAAUACUGACACUGAGGUGCGAAAGCAUGGGGAGCAAACAGGAUUAGAUACCCUGGUAGUCCAUGCCGUAAACGAUGUCUACUAGCCGUUGGGGCCCUUGAGGCUUUAGUGGCGCAGCUAACGCGAUAAGUAGACCGCCUGGGGAGUACGGUCGCAAGACUAAAACUCAAAUGAAUUGGCGGGG
rnacentral:rRNA from 1 species